AGAGUUUGAUCCUGGCUCAGGACGAACGCUGGCGGCGUGCAUAACACAUGCAAGUUGAACGAGAAGUUCUUUUGGAAAUCUUCGGAAGGAAAAAGGAAUGGAAAGUAGCGGACGGGUGAGUAACGCGUGAGAAACCUGCCUCACACAAGGGGAUAGCCAUUGGAAACGGUGAUUAAUACCCUGUGACAUGGACGCUUCGCAUGGAGCAGCCAUUAAAGUGUUAGCGGUGUGAGAUGGUCUCGCGUCUGAUUAGCUAGUUGGUAAGGUAACUGCUUACCAAGGCAACGAUCAGUAUCCGGCUUGAGAGGGUGAACGGACACACUGGAACUGAGACACGGUCCAGACUCCUACGGGAGGCAGCAGUGGGGAAUAUUGCACAAUGGGCGAAAGCCUGAUGCAGCGACGCCGCGUGAGCGAAGAAGUAUUUCGGUAUGUAAGGCUCUAUCAGCAGGGAAGAAAAUGACGGUACCUGACUAAGAAGCUCCGGCUAAAUACGUGCCAGCAGCCGCGGUAAUACGUAUGGAGCAAGCGUUAUCCGGAUUUACUGGGUGUAAAGGGAGCGUAGGCGGGCGGGCAAGUCUGAAGUGAAAACCCCAGGGCUCACCCCUGGGGACUGCAUUGGAACCUGCUCAGCUAGAGUGCCGGAGAAGAAAGUGGAAUUUCCAAGUGUAGCGGGGAAAGGCGUAAAUAUUUAGGAGGAAACACCAGGGGGGAAAGGCUACUUUCUGGAACCAUUACGGGACCCGAAGGCUCGAAAGGGGGGGGGAAAAAAAAGAAUAAAAACCCCGGGUACCCCCCCCCCGCAA
rnacentral:rRNA from 1 species